CAGUCAUACCAAUGGGAAAUCAACCUCUUGAGUUUGGUUUUGUGGUUUCGAAGAGUUUAAAAGCCUUCGGAUCUGCGAGGAUUGGGCUCUUUUGGUGUACUUUCUCGUACGGUUAGUCAACAUCGGUUUUGAAUGUCAUAAAAUGAUUGGAGGAAUGUGGCUUCGAUCUCGUAUUGAAGUGUUAUAGCCUUCGGCAGAUGUGAUGAUCGAGAUUGAGGAUUGCAACGGGAUACCCUUCGGGGCUACCUGUCUGAUCUCUGAUCGUUGCUCUGGUACCGAAAGCGUGCUUACGGUUAUCAAAGUCGAUGGUCAACAGGUUAGAAC
rnacentral:rRNA from 1 species